CUGUGCUGGAGUCUGUCUUUCCCUUACUCACAAUUCAAUCCAGUCGGCUGGGAAGAGCUGAGCAGAGAAGAGAGUUGCUGAAAGGACCCAAACAGGAGCUUCCUUCUGUAAGUGAGAAGUAUCUCCUUCAGGAAAGAAUCUUUGCACCACAGAACAGGAUGGAAGGGAGGUGGUAAGAUGCUAAGGAAGACUGAUGCUGAGCAUGGCCAAGGAGUGGAACAGAUCUGCCCCAGGAUCCGAACCCACAAACCUGGGCCACCAAAGAGCACGGCCCCCUGCCCCAGGAUUCUUCAGUCACCAUGCUUGCCCAGAGAGAAAGGUCCCGAAGAGCAGGCAGGUGGGUAGGAGGGUCCGCGGGCAGGACCCCAGGCUUGUG
rnacentral:lncRNA from 1 species